rnacentral:rRNA from 1 species
UACGGAGGGUGCGAGCGUUGUCCGGAAUCACUGUGCGUACAGGGCGCGUAGGCGGCCUGAUAAGUAGGGGGUGAAAUCCUGCGGCUUAACCGCAGGGCUGCCUUCUAAACUGUCAGGCUCGAGCACAGUAGAGGCAGGUGGAAUUCCCGGUGUAGCGGUGGAAUGCGUAGAGAUCGGGAAGAACAUCAGUGGCGAAGGCGGCCUGCUGGGCUGUUGCUGACGCUGAGGCGCGACAGCGUGGGGAGCAAACAGG